GCUGAGGGGACCCUGAGGGGGCGCUGAGGGGAGCGCGGCCGUCAGGCGCCCAGCGACCCUCAGCUGAGCGGGGAGAGCGUGAGAGGAGCCUCCCGGCCCCGGAAAGGAGCUCUCCGUGCAGAUGGGUCCCCUCAGCGUGUGGGGAGUUUAUUGCGCACAGGCCGAGAGAUAGAGGCAGAAAUCGGGUAAUCGCUAGGGGAGCGAGGCGAUAAGGGGCCUGCCCGGCCCGCCGUGACGGUAUCGGCUUACAGCAAGUCGAGGUCGAUGCAGGUGCGCGGUGAGAACAGGCAAGCUGCGUUGCUGGAGAGAAAUCUAUCAAAACCUGAGGUUCCUGGACUGCCUCCUGCCCAGAUGCCGGGAAGUCAGUGCUGGUGCAGAAGCAAAGUUUUAGUCCGCUCUCUGCCUAAGAGGAAAGAAGACAGAAACAUAAGCCAGAAACAUGCACUAACCUUGUGACCAUGCCUGAUCGACACAUAGCUUUUCUGCUGACACUGUCCCCAAAUGAUUGUUUCCUUUGCGAUGACAACGCCAUUAGCAGCUUAUGACCCCUCUCAGGCAUGACAGGCACAUCUCUGCACUUCUCUGCUCUUUGCGUGUAAAACGUUGAAAGUGCCUGCGAGAGCUGCUGUACACACGAAAGGAAAAGAAACCGUGCCCCAGCUGCUUGUGCAUCUGCGCUGCAGUGUGGCCAGAAGGGACGCCGAGGCAAUGACUUGUUUCCUUUGUUACUUCCUGUUUCCCCCCACUGUCAGUGGGCAGCACUGGCUCUGUCAGAUUUCCCAAUUUCCCAGAGAGGCUGCAAAUCAAACCAUGCACGCAUCAAGGCUCCGUGAGACGGCAAGCCAAGCAGCGGAGGGGAUUUUCCAGUGUUCGCUCGCUUCCUGGCCACCCUUCGAUCAACCGCUUUCCCAUGGGAGGAAAAGAAGGUGGGCUUUUUGUCUCGCAGCGUGCUCUCACACCGGCAGAGGCAUGGUUCAGAAACGCUGCCCGUGCUUCUGAAGAGCUCGUGCUUCAGGUAUUGGCACCGCACCACAAAAUUAUGAUAAGAAUUUCACCUCUGCUUUCCCCCCUAUAGCUGGAGCUCGUCCUUCCCUCUCCAACCCAAUGGCUAUUUAGAAAGAUUGCGCAGCUUAUACAUGCUUUGGAGCAAGUCUUGUCUGUACAUCUGACACCACACAAACCGCAAGAGGCAAUAAAAUUCUUAUCCAAGGGGCUUACAAAAGAGCAACAACUCUACAGGACAAGUACCAACAGCUGAUGAUGAAUAAUAAAUGCCGUUGUUUUAUACUGGGAACAGUA